rnacentral:rRNA from 1 species
AGCCCGCUCAGAAACUCAAGGAAGUUGACGGGGGCCCGCGACAAGCGGUGGAGCAUGUGGUUUAAUUCGACGCAACGCGCAGACUACCUGGGCUUGACAUCCCGAUCGCACUUUCUGGAAACAGGGAGGUCAGUUCGGCUGGAUCGGUGACAGGUGCUGCAUGGCUGUCGUCAGCUCGUGUCGUGAGAUGUUGGGUUAAGUCCCGCAACGAGCGCAACCCUCGUCCUUAGUUGCCAGCAUUCAGUUGGGCACUCUAAGGAGACUGCCGGUGUUAAACCGGAGGAAGGCGGGGAUGACGUCAAGUCCUCAUGGCCCUUAUGUCCAGGGCUACACACGUGCUACAAUGGCCGGUACAAAGGGUAGCAAGACCGCGAGGUGGAGCCAAUCCCAAAAAGACCGGUCUCAGUUCGGAUUGGAGUCUGCAACUCGACUCCAUGAAGUUGGAAUCGCUAGUAAUCGUGGAUCAGCAUGCCACGGUGAAUACGUUCCCGGGCCUU